rnacentral:rRNA from 1 species
CAGUAGCCGCGGUAAUACCGAGGGUGCGAGCGUUAAUCGGAUUUACUGGGCGUAAAGCGUGCGUAGGCGGCUUUUUAAGUCGGAUGUGAAAUCCCUGAGCUUAACUUAGGAAUUGCAUUCGAUACUGGGAAGCUAGAGUAUGGGAGAGGAUGGUAGAAUUCCAGGUGUAGCGGUGAAAUGCGUAGAGAUCUGGAGGAAUACCGAUGGCGAAGGCAGCCAUCUGGCCUAAUACUGACGCUGAGGUACGAAAGCAUGGGGAGCAAACAGGAUUAGAUACCCCGGUAGUCCCUGUCUCUUAUAC